UGGUUCUGUAGGAGAAUUCUUGCCUUCAAUGCCAGUGACCCAGGUUCGAUUCCUGG
rnacentral:tRNA from 1 species